UACGUAGGGGGCAAGCGUUGUCCGGAAUCAUUGGGCGUAAAGAGCGUGUAGGCGGCUCGAUAAGUCCGCUCUGAAAGCCCGGGGCUCAACCCCGGGAGGCGGGCGGAUACUGUCGAGCUAGAGUCCGGAAGAGGCGAGUGGAAUUCCUGGUGUAGCGGUGAAAUGCGCAGAUAUCAGGAGGAACACCGGUGGCGAAGGCGGGACUCUGGGCCGAUACUGACGCUGAGGAGCGAAAGCGUGGGGAGCAAACAGG
rnacentral:rRNA from 1 species